CCUGCCGGGUCUCUACCGCUCGAGACUGGAGGACGAGAGAACGCGCCAUGGCGACCGGCCCGGAGCUGGGACCCAGGGGCGCGCUGAGGGCGCCCGGGUUGGCCUGGACCCGGGCAGCCAGCGAGGUGGGGGCGCUUAGUGCACCCAAAGGAUUGGACCGGACCUGUCUCUGGGACACGUUAAAGGUCGUAGUAAGAAGUAAGGUGCUGUGUUGGCGAACAAAGGUCACUGCAUACGUGCAAAUGAAGGCGAAGGAUAAUAAGCAAAGGGUCAACAAAGCUACAGAUUGUGAUUCGUGUGCUCUCUAA
rnacentral:lncRNA from 1 species